rnacentral:lncRNA from 1 species
AACAAAAUAGAGAAUUUAAAAAUUAAGUAUAAGUGUUACUGACGCAGACUUCUACAAGUUUGGAUAGGAGCUAUCUAGCACAUGCAAUAUAUAGCAAGAACAAGCAGACCUUACAAGUUAAUAGUGUUGUCAAACACAUCGUCCAUGCCAUAAAGAUCAAGUAAUCGUUAUAGCUCAGAUAUUGAUAUUGAUAUCUACUACUGUUUAGGUACCAUAGUUUGUUUUCUCUUCUUAGGACUUCUACUCAUGUAUAAAAGGAUAGGUGAACAAUUGAGAUUGACUUCAGAAAAUAGAAAAAUCUCUUCUAUUUCUUGAGUCAAUGCAUCAUAAGUGCAAGCACACAUGACUUCAGAAAAUAGCAGGACCAUGAGAGCGGCAACGCCGACGAUCUUGAUGGGCAUGCCGGUGACCACCAUGUCCUUUAUGGUGAUGUAGCCGGUGCUGAACCACACCACAACCUGGGUGGAGUGAGAGAACAAAGAUCAACUACCGCCUCAACCCAUAAAUAAAAGAAAAACCAAAUAGAAUUAAAAAGUUAAGUAUGGGUGCUACUGGAGUUGACUACUAUAUAGUGCCAAAACAAACAACUAAUGAGACAACACUCCACACCACCAACUUACCAGUUAGGACCAAGUGGCACUACAAGCUCCAUACAUCCAUCAAUCGAUAUUCUCGCCCUCCACAAGAUCAAACUUCGCGAUAGCUGAGGGUCCAUGCAACUUCCUAGGCACACACACACACACACACACACACACACACACACGCACAAAUAGAGAGAGAGAGCAUGAUUAACUGGUGUCAUCAACCCACAUAACAAAAUAGAGAAUUUAAAAAUUAAGUAUAAGUGCCACUGACGCAGACUUCUACAAGUUUGGAUAGGAGCUAUCUAGCACAUGCAAUAUAUAGCAAGAACAAGCAGACCUUACAAGUUAAUAGUGUUGUCAAACACAUCGUCCAUGCCAUAAAGAUCAAGUAAUCGUUAUAGCUCAGAUAUUGAUAUUGAUAUCUACUACUGUUUAGGUACCAUAGUUUGUUUUCUCUUAUUAGGACUUCUACUCAUGUAUAAAANNN